GACGAACGCUGGCGGCGUGCUUAACACAUGCCAGUCGAACGGAAAGGCCCUGCUUUUGUGGGGUGCUCGAGUGGCGAACGGGUGAGUAACACGUGAGUAACCUGCCCUUGACUUUGGGAUAACUUCAGGAAACUGGGGCUAAUACCGGAUAGGAGCUCCUGCUGCAUGGUGGGGGUUGGAAAGUUUCGGCGGUUGGGGAUGGACUCGCGGCUUAUCAGCUUGUUGGUGGGGUAGUGGCUUACCAAGGCUUUGACGGGUAGCCGGCCUGAGAGGGUGACCGGCCAACUUGCGACUGAGAUACGGCCCAGACUACUACGGGAGGCAGCAGUGGGGAAUAUUGCACAAUGGGCGGAAGCCUGAUGAAGCAACGCGGCGUGCGGGAUGACGGCCUUCGGGUUGUAAACCGCUUUCGCCUGUGACGAAGCGUGAGUGACGGUAAUUGGUAAAGAAGCACCGGCUAACUACGU
rnacentral:rRNA from 1 species